GUCUUAGUUUCAACCCGAACCCCGUUUCAAUCUGAUGCCAUACACCGUCUCGCUGUUCAUUCUUUACUGAUUUGGCGACCGCCGUUUCCUAGGUUUACCGGCGAUGCCGAACAGGGGAAGAAAAGCGCCUCCCCAUGCCGCGCGCGGUUCCGAUCUGCUGGUGCAUGCUGCUGCAAAAGGUCUAUCUAAAGCACGACGGUUCUUUCCUCCGCCUCCGGUCUUUCCUACCAUAUGGAAUCUGCAAAAGGAUUUGUAAAUCUCCUGCAAGCUGACUCACACAAAGAUACCUGACGGCUAUUUGAGCUUCGAAGUGCCCCCUUCUAUAGCGGUAUUCUAAUCUGUUGUAGCACAUGGUACAAACUGAGGCAGCAUAAUUCAAAUUAUUUGUAAUUUUCACAUAUAUUUAUAUAUUUAUCUUUACCCUCUAAUUUUUUC